AAAGUGGAGCAAUCCAUGAGUAAAGUGGCGUACGGGUGAGUAACACGUGGGUAAUCUACCUCUUAGUGGGGAAUAACCUGGGGAAACCCGGGCUAAUACCGCAUAAUCUCGGGAGAGGAAAGCAGCAAUGCGCUGAGAGAGGAGCCCGCGGCCGAUUAGCUAGUUGGGAGGGUAAAAGCCUACCAAGGCAAAGAUCGGUAGCCGGCCUGAGAGGGCACACGGCCACACUGGCACUGAAACACGGGCCAGACUCCUACGGGAGGCAGCAGUGGGGAAUCUUGCACAAUGGGGGAAACCCUGAUGCAGCGACGCCGCGUGAGCGAUGAAGCCCUUCGGGGUGUAAAGCUCUUUCGGCAGGGAAGAUGAUGACGGUACCUGCAGAAGCAGCUGCGGCUAACUACGUGCCAGCAGCCGCGGUAAUACGUAGGCAGCGAGCGUUGUUCGGAGUUACUGGGCGUAAAGGGUGUGUAGGCGGUUCUUUAAGUUUGGUGUGAAAUCUCCCGGCUCAACCGGGAGGGUGCGCCGAAUACUGAGGGACUCGAGUGCGGGAGAGGAAAGUGGAAUUCCUGGUGUAGCGGUGAAAUGCGUAGAUAUCAGGAGGAACACCGGUGGGUGUAGACGGCUUUCUGGACCGUAACUGACGCUGAGACACGAAAGCGUGGGUAGCAAACAGGAUUAGAUACCCUGGUAGUCCACGCCCUAAACGAUGCAUAUUUGGUGUGGGUCAUUCAGUUGAUCCGUGCCGGAGCUAACGCGUUAAAUAUGCCGCCUGGGGAGUACAGUCGCAGGGCUGAAACUC
rnacentral:rRNA from 1 species